UAAUUAUGUUUAGGGGAAUUUAUUAAAGGUUUAUUUUAUAUAUAAAUUUUAGUAGUAAUUUUUUAUUAUUUUAAUAAUAAUAAUGAUAUAAAAUGUAGUAAAUAAAAUUAAAAAUUUAAGAAAUUAAGAUUUAGUAAUACAAAAAUUAGUAACAAAUUUUGUGCCAGCAGUUGCGGUUAUACAAAAAUUAAAUUAAAUUAUUUCAGUUUAUAAAAAAUAAAUUUUUUUGAAAAAUAAAUAUUAAAUUAUUAGGUAAAAUUUUAAUUUAAUUAAAUUUUAUAUAAAAAUUAUGUUUUAAUAAAUUUUAAUAUAAACUAGGAUUAGAUACCCUAUUAUUAAAAAUUUAAAUUAUAAUACUAAAAUAGUAGAUAAUUAUUUAUUGAAACUUAAAUAAUAUGGCGGUAUUUUAGUUCAUUUAGAGGAAUCUGUUUAAUAAUUGAUAAUCCACGAAUAAAUUUACUUAAUUUAAAAUUUUAUAUAUCGUUGUUAAAAAAAUAUUUUUAAUUAAUUAUAAUAUUUAAAAAUUAAAAUAAAAAAUUAAUUCAGAUCAAGAUGUAGAUUAUAAUUAAGAAUAUAAUGGAUUACAAUAAAUUUAUUUAAAUGAAUAUGAAAUUGAAAAAUUUUAUUGAAGGUGGAUUUAAAUGUAAUUUUAUUUAGUUUAUUAAAAUGAUUUAAAAUUAAAAUAUGUACAUAUUGCCCGUCACUUUCAUUUUAAAAUUGGAAUAAGUCGUAACAAAGUAGAGGUACUGGAAAGUGUUUCUAGAAAGAU
rnacentral:ncRNA from 1 species